GUUCCUGUGUGUGUUGCCCCACAUCAAUUUAUCACUUUAAUAUCUGAUAUGUGGGUCAUCGACCCACAAUGAUAUUAAAUUUUAUUUUCUAAGGGGGAGUAAGCGUUGCCCAUGCGUUGCACUAUUGCUUGGGCACAGGCGCAUCCCAC
rfam:Beta vulgaris subsp. vulgaris chromosome 6, whole genome shotgun sequence.